GCUUACACNUGCNNGUCGAACGGAAACGAUACUAGCUUGCUAGUAGGCGUCGAGUGGCGGACGGGUGAGUAACGCGUAGGAAUCUACCUGAUAGUGGGGGAUAGCCCGAAGAAAUUCGGAUUAAUACCGCAUAAUCUAUUCGUAGUAAAGUGGGGGACUUUCGAGCCUCACGCUAUCAGAUGAGCCUGCGUAAGAUUAGCUAGUUGGUAGGGUAAAAGCCUACCAAGGCUACGAUCUUUAGCUGGUCUGAGAGGAUGAUCAGCCACAUCGGGACUGAGACACGGCCCGAACUCCUACGGGAGGCAGCAGUGGGGAAUAUUGGACAAUGGGGGCAACCCUGAUCCAGCAAUACCGCGUGUGUGAAGAAGGCCUGAGGGUUGUAAAGCACUUUCAAUUGUGAAGAAAAGUUAACGGUUAAUAACCGUUAGCCUUGACGUUAACUUUAGAAGAAGCACCGGCUAACUCCGUGCCAGCAGCCGCGGUAAUACGGAGGGUGCAAGCGUUAAUCGGAAUUACUGGGCGUAAAGCGUGCGUAGGCGGUUUAUUAAGUCAGAUGUGAAAGCCCCGGGCUUAACCUGGGAACUGCAUUUGAAACUGGUCAACUAGAGUAUGGUAGAGGAAAGUGGAAUUUCUGGUGUAGCGGUGAAAUGCGUAGAUAUCAGAAGGAACAUCAAUGGCGAAGGCAGCUUUCUGGACCAAUACUGACGCUGAGGUACGAAAGCGUGGGUAGCAAACAGGAUUAGAUACCCUGGUAGUCCACGCCGUAAACGAUGAUAACUAGCCGUUGGGGGGAUUUACCCUUUAGUGGCGAAGCUAACGCGUUAAGUUAUCCGCCUGGGGAGUACGGCCGCAAGGUUAAAACUCAAAGGAAUUGACGGGGACCCGCACAAGCGGUGGAG
rnacentral:rRNA from 1 species